rnacentral:rRNA from 1 species
GACGUAGGGUGCGAGCGUUGUCCGGAUUUAUUGGGCGUAAAGAGCUCGUAGGCGGCUCGUCGCGUCAGCUGUGAAAACCCGCGGCUUAACCGUGGGCUUGCAGCUGAUACGGGCGGGCUAGAGUUCGGUAGGGGAGACUGGAAUUCCUGGUGUAGCGGUGAAAUGCGCAGAUAUCAGGAGGAACACCAAUGGCGAAGGCAGCUCGCUGGGACGUGACUGACGCUGAGACGCGAAAGCGUGGGGAGCAAACAGG